rnacentral:rRNA from 3 species
UACGAAGGGGGCUAGCGUUGUUCGGAAUUACUGGGCGUAAAGCGCGCGUAGGCGGGUGACUAAGUCAGGGGUGAAAUGCCGAGGCUCAACCUCGGAACUGCCUUUGAUACUGGUCGCCUGGAGUUCGGGAGAGGUAAGUGGAAUUCCGAGUGUAGAGGUGAAAUUCGUAGAUAUUCGGAGGAACACCAGAAGCGAAGGCGGCUUACUGGCCCGAUACUGACGCUGAGGCGCGAAAGCGUGGGGAGCAAACAGG